UACAGAGGGGGCAAGCGUUGUUCGGAAUUACUGGGCGUAAAGGGCGCGUAGGCGGCCCGCUAAGUCGGACGUGAAAUCCCCGGGCUCAACCCGGGAACUGCGUCCGAUACUGGCAGGCUUGAAUUCGGGAGAGGGAUGCGGAAUUCCAGGUGUAGCGGUGAAAUGCGUAGAUAUCUGGAGGAACACCGGUGGCGAAGGCGGCAUCCUGGACCGAUAUUGACGCUGAUGCGCGAAAGCCAGGGGAGCAAACGGG
rnacentral:rRNA from 1 species